rnacentral:rRNA from 1 species
CCAGCAGCCGCGGUAAUUCCAGCUCCAGUAGCGUAUAUUAAAUUUGUUGUGGUUAAAAAGCUCGUAGUUGGAUUUCUGCCGAGGACGACCGACCGACCCAUACGGGUUUGCGUUGUGUUAGACCGAGGUAUCCUCUUGGAAGACGUUGGCACUUAACUGGGUCAACGGAGUCCAGGACUUUUACUUUGAGGAAAUUAGAGUGUUCAAAGCAGGCCUACGCUUGAAUACAUUAGCAUGGAAUAAUGGAAUAGGACUUUGGUGCUAUUUCGUUGGUUAAUGGGACCGAAGUAAUGAUUAAAAGGGACAGAUGGGGCCGUUUAUAUAUCGUUGUCAGAGGUGAAAUUCUUGGAUUUACGAAAGAUAAACUUCUGCGAAAGCAUUCGGCAAGGAUGUUUUCAUUGAUCAAGAACGAAAGU